rnacentral:rRNA from 1 species
CAGUAGCCACGGUAAUACGUAGGGUGCGAGCGUUAAUCGGAAUUACUGGGCGUAAAGCGUGCGCAGGCGGUUCGUUAAGACAGAUGUGAAAUCCCCGGGCUUAACCUGGGAACUGCAUUUGUGACUGGCGAGCUAGAGUAUGGCAGAGGGGGGUAGAAUUCCACGUGUAGCAGUGAAAUGCGUAGAGAUGUGGAGGAAUACCGAUGGCGAAGGCAGCCCCCUGGGCCAAUACUGACGCUCAUGCACGAAAGCGUGGGGAGCAAACAGGAUUAGAUACCCGUGUAGUCCCUGUCUCUUAUAC